UCUUACGGGACGCAGCAGUGGGGAAUAUUGCACAAUGGGGGAAACCCUGAUGCAGCGACGCCGCGUGGAGGAAGAAGGUCUUCGGAUUGUAAACUCCUGUCCUUGGGGACGAAAAUGACGGUACCUGGGGAGGAAGCUCCGGCUAACUACGUGCCAGCAGCCGCGGUAAUACGUAUGGUGCAAGCGUUAUCCGGAUUUACUGGGUGUAAAGGGAGCGCAGGCGGCACGGCAAGCCUGAUGUGAAAGCCCGCGGCCCAACCGCGGGACUGCAUUGGGAACUACCGGGCUGGAGUGCCGGAGCGGUA
rnacentral:rRNA from 1 species